CGGGUGAGUAAUACAUAAGUAACCUGCCCUAGACAGGGGGAUAACUAUUGGGAACGAUAGCUAAGACCGCAUAGGUACGGACACUGCAUGGUGACCGUAUUAAAAGUGCCUCAAAGCACUGGUAGAGGAUGGACUUAUGGCGCAUUAGCUGGUUGGCGGGGUAACGGCCCACCAAGGCGACGAUGCGUAGCCGACCCGAGAGGGUGACCGGCCACACUGGGACUGAGACACGGCCCAG
rnacentral:rRNA from 1 species